UACAGAGGGUGCAAGCGUUGUUCGGAAUUAUUGGGCGUAAAGGGCGCGUAGGCGGUGCGGUAAGUCCGCAGUGAAAUCUCUGGGCUCAACUCAGAGUCUGCUGUGGAAACUGCCGUGCUAGAGUGUGGGAGAGGUGAGUGGAAUUCCCGGUGUAGCGGUGAAAUGCGUAGAUAUCGGAAGGAACACCAGUGGCGAAAGCGGCUUCCUGGGUCCAGCAC
rnacentral:rRNA from 1 species